rnacentral:tRNA from 1 species
GCCCGAGUGGUGGAAUGGUAGACACGACGGAUUCAAAAUCCGUUGCCGCAAGGCGUGCCGGUUCGAGUCCGGCCUCGGGUACCA